GACGGAGGAGGCAAGCGUUAUCCGGAAUUAUUGGGCGUAAAGCGUCCGCAGGCGGUUAGUUAAGUCUGUUGUUAAAUGUCACAGCUCAACUGUGGGAGGGCAAUGGAAACUGAUUAACUUGAGUGUGGUAGGGGUAGAGGGAAUUCCCGGUGUAGCGGUGAAAUGCGUAGAUAUCGGGAAGAACACCAGUGGCGAAGGCGCUCUACUGGGCCAUAACUGACGCUGAGGGACGAAAGCUAGGGGAGCGAAAGGG
rnacentral:rRNA from 1 species